rnacentral:rRNA from 1 species
GACGAACGCUGGCGGCGUGCUUAACACAUGCAAGUCGAACGGAAAGGCCCUGCUUUUGUGGGGUGCUCGAGUGGCGAACGGGUGAGUAACACGUGAGUAACCUGCCCUUGACUUUGGGAUAACUUCAGGAAACUGGGGCUAAUACCGGAUAGGAGCUCCUGCUGCAUGGUGGGGGUUGGAAAGUUUCGGCGGUUGGGGAUGGACUCGCGGCUUAUCAGCUUGUUGGUGGGGUAGUGGCUUACCAAGGCUUUGACGGGUAGCCGGCCUGAGAGGGUGACCGGCCACAUGGGUACUGCGAUACGGCCCAGACUCCUACGGGAGGCAGCAGUGGGGAAUAUUGCACAAUGGGCGGAAGCCUGAUGCAGCAGCGCCGCGUGCGGGAUGACGGCCUUCGGGUUGUAAACCGCUUUCGCCUGUGACGAAGCGUGAGUGACGGUAAUGGGUAAAGAAGCACCGGCUAACUACGUG